GACGAACGCUGGCGGCGUGCCUAAUACAUGCAAGUCGAACGCAGUGGGGACGGGUGAGUAACACGUGGGUAACCUCCCAUCAGAGGGGAUAACACUUGGAAACAGGUGCUAAACCGAUACGGGUGGAUGUAGCCGCGGUGCAUUAGCUAGUUGGUGGGGUAACGGCUUACCAAGGCCACGAUGCCUAGCUGGCCUGAGAGGAUGACCGGCCACACUGGGACUGAGACACGGCCCAGACUCCUACGGGAGGCAGCAGUAGGGAAUCUUCGGCAAUGGACGAAAGCCUGAUGCAGCCAUGCCGCGUGAGUGAAGAAGGUUUUCGGGUUGUAAAGCUCUGUCGGUGGAGAAGCGUUACCCAACCAAAAAGCACCGGCUAACUACGUGCCAGCAGCCGCGGUAAUAC
rnacentral:rRNA from 1 species